GUGGGGAAUAUUGCACAAUGGGCGAAAGCCUGAUGCAGCAACGCCGCGUGAAGGAUGAAGGCCUUUGGGUCGUAAACUUCUGUCCUUGGGGAAGAAAAAAAUGACGGUACCCCUGGAGGAAGUCCCGGCUAACUACGUGCCAGCAGCCGCGGUAAUACGUAGGGGGCGAGCGUUAUCCGGAAUUAUUGGGCGUAAAGAGUACGUAGGUGGUUUUUUAAGCGCAGGGUUUAAGGCGAUGGCUCAACUGUCGUUCGCCCUGUGAACUGGAAGACUUGAGUACAGGAGAGGAAAGCGGAAUUCCUAGUGUAGCGGUGAAAUGCAUAGAUAUUAGGAGAAACACCAGUGGCGAAGGCGGCUUUCUGGACUGUAACUGACACUGAGGUACGAAAGCGUGGGGAGCAAACAGGAUUAGAAACCCUGGUAGUCC
rnacentral:rRNA from 1 species